AGCGCCGCGGCGAUAGCGCGCGCUGAGGCGUUACGAGCACCACCGAGGGCAGCCACUGGGCUGGCGUCCGUCUAUUUAUUUACUUAUUCAUAGAAAGUUUGACCCUUCCUCAGGACGAAGCUGAACACUGACGGAAGCAAUGGCUGCAGAGUUAAAACAACGGCGGUUUCGCUUUCGGGUGCCCCUUGGCACCCCGGCCGUGGCGGUUACGGGAGACGCAGCCGCCUUUUCCUCUUUUUUUUUUUUUUUUUUCCUUCCUCCUUUUAGGGCAAAGCAUGCCCUUUCGCUGUGAUCAGCAGUUCCUUGCCCUUUCGCUGUGAUCAGCAGUUCCUUGCAGGGUUCAUUGCAGCAUCGUUUCUGCCGCCGGACUUCCUUUGCUGAGGAAAGUUAUUCGCUGUUGCCCCAGGAAGCAUAAUAACACAUCCUAUGAAUCACUGAGCAGAGCUGCUGUGGGAGGUCACAAAACAAACCCCAUUUCUCAGAGGGUUGCUUCACAGAUAGGGAUAGAGCCGCGUGACUGGCGCCCUUACCGAGCAAAUCUCUGAAGCUUCCCGUUAAGUGAUGUUGCAGAUGGUUUUUGGAACAAAAAGUUGAUACGGGAAAGGAGCAAUAGUGAUGGGACUUCUCUACUCUCACCUUGGAUUUCCCUGAAGUUUGUUAUUCCUCUGAGUGCCAUUGCCUUCUAAAGGGGUCCUUGAUAGGUUUCAGAGAAAAAUCACAGAAUCAUAGAGAUUGGAAGGGAUCUCUGAAAAAUACUUGCCUUUUAGAGAACAUAUAAGUAUAAAGAAAAGAUGGAAGGAAACAACUUCAUUAUGUGACUUAAUCUGACUACAUUUGUCAAGACACAGAAGCACACGUAACAUUUGGGGAAUGUAUUCGUCUUCUAGUGAUUGCACAUGAGUGGUUUUAUAGACACAAGUGUAUGUAAAGAAAAUGUCUGUGGAGUCUAGUUCGUAUCGUUUAACAGAGAAUCUUGGGAGAGGAUGACCAUAUGACCUCAAAUAUUGUACUUUCCUGUCAGAGUGUCCUGGAGUUGUGAAGAGCCUACAUAAAACACUGAAUGACAGCAGUUAUUCUGAUUAGACCAAAGAUGGAUGUAUGAGUAUUGAGGAUCUCCAAGGAACCAAAAAGCAGUAUGACAGAGAGUAUGAGUUAUCUCAGAAGCUGUUUUAUUUACAACUGUCUGUUUGCAUUCACUUUCUGGAACAAUAUUGGCCUGGCUGUGAAAAAUGAACUCUUUACAUCUGUUCCUAACAAUUUUUCAGAAGGUGAUUUGGAUGAAAAAAUCUUGAGCUUUCCACUGUUGUAUCCAAAUAAUCAGCAGUCCAAAGCUAGUUUUGGUUGGGUUGUGACAGAAAAUGCUACGGAAAGCCUAUCAUUGUCAGAAAUCACAAAUGACAAUGUAAGAAAAUUAAUAACUUUAUUAUCUAAUUUUAGAAAAGGCUCCAGGCUACAAAAUCUGACACUGGCAAAUGUGUCAGUGGACUGGGAAGCUUUCAUUGAAGUACUUCAGACUGUAUGGCACUCAUCCAUUAAAUACUUCAAUGUCAACAAUUUAAUACUACUGUCGGAUGUCACAAGGCGUCGCUUCGACUAUUCAGAUACUUCCAUGAAAGCACUUGCGCUGAAGAAGGUUUCAGUCAGGGAUCUGUACUUUUCACAGGAUGACAUUUAUAGCAUAUUUGCAAACAUGAACGUUGAAACCUUGACGAUAGCUGAAUCUGAGUUAAUUCAUAUGCUGUGUCCUUCAUCUGACAGUCCCUUUAGAUCUAUAAAUUUUACAAAAAAUGAUUUAACAGAUCUGCUUUUUCAGAACUGUAACAAACUAAUUCAGCUGGAGACAUUUAUUUUGCAUAGGAAUAAAUUUGAGAGCCUUUCCAAGGUGAGCUUCAUGACCAGACAUAUGAAAUCACUGAAGUAUCUGGACAUGAGCAACAACUU